rnacentral:rRNA from 1 species
UACAGAGGUCCCAAGCGUUGUUCGGAUUCAUUGGGCGUAAAGGGUGCGUAGGCGGCGCGGUAAGUCGGGUGUGAAAUCUCGGGGCUUAACUCCGAAACUGCAUUCGAUACUGCCGUGCUUGAGGACUGGAGAGGAGACUGGAAUUUACGGUGUAGCGGUGAAAUGCGUAGAUAUCGUAAGGAAGACCAGUGGCGAAGGCGGGUCUCUGGACAGUUCCUGACGCUGAGGCGCGAAGGCCAGGGGAGCAAACGGG